GUUAAUCAGUCACUUCAACUUCUUCACUCACUCACUCACUCACUCUCUCGUUCUCACGUCGUUGCAACGUUUCUUUCUUUGAAACCUCAAACCCUAAUUUCUUGUUUGUUCCACAAUUUCUGAAUCAAUUGCUCAUCAAUUUCUCAAUCAAUUCCACAAUUCAAACCCUAAUUCACAACACCAUGAUCGAUUUUGCUUCUCAUCAUCAUCCAACCCUGUUUUUCAACAAGGGUGAUCAUCAUCUCAAUGAUCUUCAAACUGAUAAGAAGAAAACAUUCAACUCUGCCAAAGCACACACAACCUCCAAACCUGUUGUUCAACCACCUCAAACAAACGAUCAAAAUCGCAUCUUGAAGAUCACCUUUUUCUCCUCUUCUGUUCGUAACAAGGAGAAACAACAACAGGAGAAACCUUAUUUGUGUCGUGUUUGCGCAAGGGCUUUUACAUCCAACCGAGCUUUGAAUGGACAUAUGAGAUGUCACAGUUCCAAGAAGGGUACUUCUCCAUUUUUGACUUGUCAAGAUGCUAUUGACUUGUCAAGGUUUUUGCCCCCAAAAACCUACAAGACCCGUAAACGUUCCAAGAGAUUUGUCAUUGAUGAUGAUGUCCGUGAGGUUGCUCAAUCAUUGUUAGAUAUGUCUUGUGGGAAAUCAUUAUAUUUUGAUGCGGAUAAUCACGAUAACAACGGUAAAAGAUUGAAGCUUUCCGAUGAAAAAGCAAGGUGUUGAUGAUCCUUUGUCUAUUUGUGUUAAUUGAAUUGAAUGAACAGGAUUUUAUCAUCUUAUUAUUGUUAUAACUUGUGCUGUUUAGUUGUUUUGGUAGUGGAAUUUAUUCUUGUAUAUGAAGUAUAGAAUUGAAACACUUGAGUUUUUGUAUGAUGUUUUUAUGUUUGAAUUCAUAUUCUUACACUUGUUAUUGUUUAUUUCAUGUGUCAUUCUUUCAUGAAUUGAUGAGCAUAAAAGCAAAACCAAUGAUCCUUUGCCAAAGUCACCUAGAUUGGUAAUAAUGGUCUCAUUAAGAUUUUGAAGCACGAGUGGCCAACAAGAUGGCGAAGCUUCAUUCCUGAUGUUGUCUCAGCAGCUAAAACUAGUGAAACAAUCUACGAGAAUUGCAUGGCUAUACUGAAAGUAGGUUUAUCCCUGUUUUCAUUAGAUUUUAUUUCUUAUGUCUAUGACUAACUUAAAAAAUGUCUGUUCAACUUUUGAGUGAAGAGGUUUUUGAUUUUUCGAGAGGAGAAAUGACACAGCAGAAGAUAAAAAUGUCGUAUGACUAACUUAAAAAAUGUCUAUUUUUGUUAAUUGAAUUGAAUGAACAAGAUUUUAUCAUCUUAUUUUUGUUAUAACUUGUUCUGUUUCGAUGUUUUGGUAGUGGAAUUUAUGACACUUGAGUUUUUGUAUGAUGUUUUUAUGUUUGAAUUCAUAUUCUUACACUUGUUAUUGUUUAUUUCAUGUGUCAUUCUUUCAUGAAUUGAUGAGCAUAAAAGCAAAAUCAAAGAUCCUUUGCCAAAGUCACCUAGAUUGGUAAUAAUGGUUUCAUUAAGGUAAGUUAAUAUUUUGGAUUAUCACAAAAUCUACUGUUGAUCUCUCUGCUACUUUAUUGAUCAUUUGGAUUAUAAGGUAAGUUAGUUUUCCAUUAAGUUUUCUUAUCCGACUCCAUCUAAGUAAUUGAUUUCAAACUAUUCAUUUUUUCUGGUCAUUUUGGUUUUAAUCAACACUUCUUGAUGCAUUCUAUUCAACCAUCACUAUGUCAUUUGUUAGACAUAAAAUUUGCAAAGACAGGUUGGUAUGCUUAUUGAGCAAGCUUCAAGGACGCCACUGGCACCGUUCAGGAAAAACCUCUCCAGGUUCCUCCAUCUUCUCAUUUCACUUGUUGUGUCGAUUCAAACUUAUUUAUUUACUGAGCUUAUGUUCAGUUUACGCACGUGAAGCCUUUCUUAUCGAUUAUUAAGUCAAUGAUCCUCAUUGGUGGAGUGGAAGUAAAAACUGACAUGAAGAAAAUUGAGGAACAAGGAGAAAACAUCUUGAUCAGCUGGCCUGGUCGAUUACACGACAUGAUGAAUUGGACGGAUGUUUUGGAUUUCAAAAGUUGAGGUUGCUGAAGAGCUUGAUAAAACAGGAUUGAGGAACAAACAUAAACAACAAAUGGGCAAUGGCAUGCAACAUCAAAACAAAGAGUCUUCAAAGACACUUUUGGUUCUUCACAUUGAGGAAUGGUAGAGAUUAAGAUGCUAACUGAUUAUGCAAGUGAAGAGCCUAAUUUGUGCCAAUGGAUGCAAGAGGAUAAAGAACUGUCUACUCAUGGCCAUUAUCUUUACUACGGGAUUUGGAGAUACUGAUAAAGAGCUUUAUUUGGUCAGGGGAUAUCACUCAAAGGAAGCUGGUAGUUAGUUGGAAGAACGUGUGCAAGCCUUUUAAUCAUGGUGGUUGUGGCCACAGGUCUUUAUUUACUCUCAACGAGGCCUCAAAUUUAAAGCUUUGUUGGGACAUGUUACAUUAACAGGAACAUUCGGCUAUAUUACUGAGAAGCAAGGUCUGUAGAGAUAAAUAAUGCAUCAAUCACCACAUUUUUUCAUCCUUAUGGAGUAGUUUCAAGUCGGAGUUCUAGCUUUUUACUAUAAAUUUCUUGAAUGAGAGAUGGUGUGAUAAAUAUUCUUUGGCUCAAACAUUACACAUACCUGUCAAUCUUCAUCAGUUUCUUUCUGCUACUGUUGCAGACUUUAUUCAUAGCACCAUUGACAUAUUCCUUUUGAUCUGGAAGUUAUGUUCCCUAAUCUCAGACACAUUAUUGAUAGGGUUUCAAUCCCAAUGGAGCAUAAGCCUGAUGUAUUCCCCAAACACUUCUUUCUCUCUCAUCGCAUCUCAAUUUUCCUUCUUCUCUCUCAAAUCACAACCAAACACUCAUUUUCCCUCUCUUUUCUCUCCGAUCAAAAUGGCACGUACAAAACAAACCGCUCGCAAAUCCACUGGACUAAAAGCACCAAGGAAACAACUAGAAACAAAAGCCGCACGGAAAUCUGCUCCGGCGACCGGAGGAGUGAAGAAACCUCACAGAUUUCGUCCAGGAACAGUUGCUUUAAGAGAGAUCAGAAAGUAUCAAAAGAGCACUGAGCUUCUCAUUAGGAAACUUCCAUUCCAAAGAUUGGUCAGAGAAAUCGCUCAGGAUUUCAAAACUGAUGUACGAUUCCAAAGUAGUGUUGUUUCUGCUCUUCAAGAAGCUGAUGAAGCUUAUCUUGUUGGUUUGUUUGAAGAUACUAAUCUUUGUGCUAUUCAUGCUAAGAGAGUUACUAUUAUGCCUAAGGAUAUUCAACUUGCUCGUAGGAUUAGAGGCGAGAGGGCUUAGAUUUGAUUUCUUAGGGUUUAUGUUCUCGAUUAGAUUUCUGUUAGGGUUCGGUUCUUGGUUAGAUUUAUGUUAGGGUUUGAAUCUUGACUAAUCAUUAUCUUGUAAGAAAGUUUCGAUCUACUUUUUAAUGUAAUCAGAUUAAAUUUGAAUUGAAUGGGUUUAACAGUCUUUGUUUCA